rnacentral:rRNA from 1 species
GAUGAACGCUGGCGGCGCGCCUAACACAUGCAAGUCGAACGGCACCCCUCCUCGGAGGGAAGCGCGUGGCGAACGGCUGAGUAACACGUGGAGAACCUGCCCCCUCCCCCGGGAUAGCCGCCCGAAAGGACGGGUAAUACCGGAUACCCCGGGGUGCCGCAUGGCACCCCGGCUAAAGCCCCGACGGGAGGGGAUGGCUCCGCGGCCCAUCAGGUAGACGGCGGGGUGACGGCCCACCGUGCCGACAACGGGUAGCCGGGUUGAGAGACCGACCGGCCAGAUUGGGACUGAGACACGGCCCAGACUCCUACGGGAGGCAGCAGUGGGGAAUCUUGCGCAAUGGGGGGAACCCUGACGCAGCGACGCCGCGUGCGGGACGGAGGCCUUCGGGGCGUAAACCGCUUUCAGCAGGGAAGAGUCAAGACUGUACCUGCAGAAGAAGCCCCGGCUAACUACGUG